UGGGGAAUAUUGGACAAUGGGCGCAAGCCUGAUCCAGCCAUGCCGCGUGAGUGAUGAAGGCCUUAGGGUUGUAAAGCUCUUUUAGCGGGGAAGAUAAUGACGGUACCCGCAGAAAAAGCCCCGGCUAACUUCGUGCCAGCAGCCGCGGUAAUACGAAGGGGGCUAGCGUUGCUCGGAAUCACUGGGCGUAAAGGGUGCGUAGGCGGGUUUCUAAGUCAGAGGUGAAAGCCUGGAGCUCAACUCCAGAACUGCCUUUGAUACUGAGGAUCUUGAGUUCGGGAGAGGUGAGUGGAACUGCGAGUGUAGAGGUGAAAUUCGUAGAUAUUCGCAAGAACACCAGUGGCGAAGGCGGCUCACUGGCCCGAUACUGGCGCUGAGGCACGAAAGCGUGGGGAGCAAACA
rnacentral:rRNA from 1 species